AAACUUAGGAUAAUUUCAAACCAAAG
rnacentral:tRNA from 1 species